UGGCAUCGAGACUGGAUGAAAGGUGGCCUCUAUUUAUAAGCUAUCACUGAAGGAGGGGAUUGCGUCUGAUUAGCUAGUUGGAGGGGUAACGGCCCACCAAGGCGAUGAUCAGUAGCCGGUCUGAGAGGAUGAACGGCCACAUUGGGGGUGAGACACGGCCCAGACUCCUACGGGAGGCAGCAGUGGGGAAUCUUCCGCAAUGGACGAAAGUC
rnacentral:rRNA from 1 species